ensembl:lncRNA
CUUGGCGUUCCCCACUGCAUUCUCUUGCCCUCCUGUUUUUGCAUUCCAUGUCGUGUUCUCUUGGCCAUUGCCCUUGGCCUUCUUUGCGGCAUUCUCUUUGGCCUCAGGUUUUGGCGUUCCCUGCAGCGUUCUCUUUGGCCAUCACUUCUGGUGUUCCAUGCAGUGUUCUAUUUGACCUUAGGAUUUCGCCAUCCAUGCCACGUUCUUGUGGUCAUUGCGCUUGGCCACCUUUGCCACAUUCUCUUCGGCGUUCCCUUCCAUGUUCUCUUUGACCUUUGCCCUUGGCCUUCUUUGCCGUGCUCCUUUCAGCCUCCUGUUCUGGCAUUCUCUACGACGAUCUCUUUGGCCUUUGGUUUUGGCAUUCGUUGUUGUGUUUUGUUUGGCCUUUGCGCUUGGCCUUCUUCUUUUGGCAUUCCCUACAGUGUUCUCUUUGGCCUUUGGUUUUGGCCUUCUGUGCUGCAUUCUCUUUGGCCAUUGCCCUUGGCCUCCUGCAUCGGCCUUCCCUGCAGCGUUCUCAUGGACCUCGCCCUCCAUUUUGGCCUUGCCACGGUGUUCUCUUUGGUCUCUGUUUUGUUCUCUGAGGCCCUCUCUUUGGGCCUGCCCUCUGGGGAGGUCUUGUCUUUGGUGUUCUCCAUAGCUUUGCUUUCCCUUUGCCUUUGACGUUGCCUUCCCUUGGUUGUUGUCUAUGCCUUUGCCCUCAGUUUUGGUGUUCCCUUGGGUGUUGUUGCCUUUGCCUUGGCCUUCCCUAACAGUCACUUUGAGCAUAACCCUAAUAAACCUAACCCUAAUACCUUCACCCCAACCCUAAUGAGCUCUGAACUCUAAACAUAGUGCUAAUCUGAUGCAACGCCCUCAGCAAACUUACCAGGGUGCACUCCAUGCUGUCAGGCAGGUCUUCAGUGAAGAUAUUGGACAGAACAGGCCUGAAGAACACUCAGGAUGGCAUACCAGCUGCUUUUAACACGAUUGAGCAGCACUUAUUAGGCCAGAUGGUUUAGCUAGUUCUUCAUCUAGGAAGCAAUGUACCUGUCCAAGUAGCUGGCUGCAAUCUUUCAGAGAAGUUCAAGGGAUAGCACAUCAAAGGGUUUGCCUCACUCAUGGGGUUGGGUCACCUUUGCUUUGAGUUUGCUAGCGUGGCUGACCCUAAUCCUGUAACUGACAUCCUGUAGCUGGACAGAGACCAUUUGCACUCCAUCCUGGCUGUUUAAGACUCACGGCCAUGCUGAGAGUCACACUGAUUUCAGCGUGUGCAGUCAUUUUGCAUCAACCCAAUUAGCUUUACAAAUAAUUUGUCUCAACCAAAUUGGUUUUAGCUUUGCAGUUAAUGCAUUGCAAAUAUGUUGGCUUUAGCUUUGCCUUGCUUACGGGGUUGGGUUAGCUUUGCUUUGUUUGUUUGUACCGCAGGGCUAACCCAACCCCGUAACCAACAUCUGAGGCCAUCGGAGCCCAUUUGCGCUCCUUCCUGGCCAGUCUGAGACUCGUGCCCCUUUGCGGCCAUUCUGAGAGUUGCGCUGAUUUUGGCAGGUGCAGUCAAUUGAUCUUGCCCAAAUUGCCUUUAGCUUUGCAAUGAAUUGAUCUCAACCAAAUUGGCUUUAGCUUUGCAAUCAGUUGAUCUCAACCAAAUUGGUUUUAGCUUUGCAAUCAAUUGAUCUCAGCCAAAUUGGCUUUAGCUUUGCCUUGCUUACGGGGUUGGGUUAGCUUUGCUUUCUUUGUUUGUACCGCAGGGCUAACCCAACCCCGUAACCAAUGCCCGAGGCCAAUGGAGCCCAUUUGCGCUCCUUCCCGGCCAGUCUGAGACUCGUGCCCCUUUGCGGCCAUUCUGAGAGUUGCGCUGAUUUUGGCAGGUGCAGUCAAUUGAUCUUGCCCAAAUUGCCUUUAGCUUUGCAAUGAAUUUGUCUCAACCAAAUUGGCUUUAGCUUUGCAAUCAGUUGAUCUCAGCCAAAUUGGCUUUAGCUUAGCCUUGCUUAUGGGGUUGGGUUAGCUUUGCUUUGUUUGUUUGUACCGCAGGGCUAACCCAACCCUGUAACCAAUGCCCGAGGCCAAUGGAGACCAUUUGUGCUCCUUCCCGGCCAGUCUGAGGCUUGCAUUUACUUCAGAUGGGCUGAGAUCUGCUCUGCUGUUGAGGUGGGUUGCAGUACACAAUAUUAGUGUAAAUCUAAUGUUAUUUAUUGGAUGCGGAGGCUUUGUGACCUAUGUCUUGUGCGUCUGACAUAUGUGUUAUAUGUAAAC